rnacentral:lncRNA from 1 species
AUUCAGGAAGUUGGUGGGUUUUCAGCAUGUGAAUAUUGACUGUGUUGUCUUUUCUCAUUUUUUACUUACUACUUGUUUUUCCUCUUCUUCCACAGCAAUCAAUCAAUAAGAACAAGUCCCAGGACUUCAGACUAGGCUCAGAAUCUAUGACACAUAAAGAAUUGAAGAAAAGUUAAGAGCUGCCGAAAUGCACAGAGGUGAAAAUGACAAACCAAAUGGAAUUUCUCUUCAGAGUUCAGAAUUUUCAGAUACUAAGGAGGAAGAAAGGAUCCACUACUUCUUGUUCUUAUGAAUGACUCUAGAAAAAUCAGAAUCAAGUUGUGGGUGGAAAAAUCAACGUGGCCUUUGAGUUCAGUUGUUAUAAACCAUUGUGACUAUUGUUGGUCAAAGUAUUGGUACUUAUAUUGUUAGUAAUUGCAUC